CUGCAUCUAGUUCUGGAGGACAGUGAUUUGGAGAAUGGCCAGGGUGAGGGCGUAGGGGCUGGAUCAUGGGUUACUUUGCAGGCCUUGUCAAGAUAUUUGAAUUUUAUUCCAAACGUAAGGAGAGAAGCACUGGAAAGUUUAAGCAGAGGAGAGAUAUAAUCUGAUUUACGAUUUUAAAAAAAAUUAGUUUACCGGAGUAGAGAAUAGAUUGGAGGCAGUCAAGGAUGGAUAUGAGAUGGAAAGAUAAACAGUUGGCCAUUAAGGAGAUCCCUGUGUCUUGAUGUAAGCAUGGCAGGUUCAAUACAUACGUUGAGUGUUGGAUGGACAAAGCUUGGAAAUAAAUUGGAUAUUAGGGGUGAAGGAGGGAGAGACAUAAGAAUGAUUCCAGAUUCUAGGCUUAAGCAACUGGGUAAAUGAAAGGAUUAUUAACUAGAGAUGCAGAAGUUUGAGUAGACAUCGACACUAAGAGAACUCAGGAAGACUUCUAUAGGAAUAUGGUGGACAGGAGACCCUUGCGGCAAACACGGGAGAGAACCAGACAGUCCCAAGACCUACCAAAAGGUGACGGAAGGUCAUGGUGAAUCCUCAGUCGUCGAGGGAAUCUGAAGCAAUGAAAGCAGAGAGGAGAGGCACCUGUGCCAGGAACGUGUCCUCUUCAUACGGAGGGAAUGGCUCCGGUACUGUCCUCUGGGAGAAACACACAUGGAGAAGUGAAGAGGCAUCAACCAGGAAGCCUCAAGCAUUGCUGUCAACGUUCCCAGAGCCUGGCCUUUUUGGAGGGUUGGACAUCCUGUUGCUUACUGCAGAAAAGGAGUGGAACGGAUGGACCAGUGGACCACAGACCACAGAUGUCAGACCGUAUUUCCUUCUGAAAAGGUCAGUGCCCUGCCAAGCCAGGGCUACAACAUGGUGGCCUUUUAAAAAGCAGACAGCCAGAGAGGCUGCCACCAGGCCCAGAAUGUGGGCAAACUCAGACUCCUGUUCUGUUGGAGCAGAAAGGGACCUGACUGCAUUGGUGCAAUCCCCGCCUUCUGCUUUGCAGGUAGGGACACUGAGGUCCAGAAGGUGUGCUUGGGAGAGGUGACACGUUCAUGGUCGCAGGGCUUGAAGUCCACAGAGCUGUGCCUAAAGCCCAGCAACUUCCCAUUUUUGUCUACAUCAAGACAAACUUUUUCUUUGUUCUGCUUAUUGCCGCCUGUAAUAAAAUCAUUAUUUUUCUUCCA
rnacentral:lncRNA from 12 species